rnacentral:rRNA from 1 species
CCUACGGGAGGCAGCAGUGAGGAAUAUUGGUCAAUGGGCGCGAGCCUGAACCAGCCAAGUAGCGUGAAGGAUGACUGCCCUACGGGUUGUAAACUUCUUUUAUAAAGGAAUAAAGUGAGGCACGUGUGCCUCUUUGUAUGUACUUUAUGAAUAAGGAUCGGCUAACUCCGUGCCAGCAGCCGCGGUAAUACGGAGGAUCCGAGCGUUAUCCGGAUUUAUUGGGUUUAAAGGGAGCGUAGAUGGGUUGUUAAGUCAGUUGUGAAAGUUUGCGGCUCAACCGUAAAAUUGCAAUUGAUACUGGCAGUUGUGAGUACAGUUGAGGUAGGCGGAAUGCGUGGUGUAGCGGUGAAAUGCUUAGAUAUCACGAAGAACCCCGAUUGCGAAGGCAGCUUACUAAACUAUGACUGACAUUGAUGCUCGAAAGUGUGGGUAUCAAACAGGAUUAGAUACCCCAGUAGUC